rnacentral:rRNA from 1 species
GUGGGGAAUAUUGGACAAUGGACCAAAAGUCUGAUCCAGCAAUUCUGUGUGCACGAUGAAGUUUUUCGGAAUGUAAAGUGCUUUCAGUUGGGACGAAGUAAGUGACGGUACCAAUAGAAGAAGCGACGGCUAAAUACGUGCCAGCAGCCGCGGUAAUACGUAUGUCGCAAGCGUUAUCCGGAUUUAUUGGGCGUAAAGCGCGUCUAGGCGGUUUGGUAAGUCUGAUGUGAAAAUGCGGGGCUCAACUCCGUAUUGCGUUGGAAACUGCCAAACUAGAGUACUGGAGAGGUGGGCGGAACUACAAGUGUAGAGGUGAAAUUCGUAGAUAUUUGUAGGAAUGCCGAUGGGGAAGCCAGCCCACUGGACAGAUACUGACGCUAAAGCGCGAAAGCGUGGGUAGCAAACAGGA